GAGUGUGUGGCUCAGUGGCAGAGCGGUUGCCUAGCAGACAUGAGGCCCUGGGUUCAAUCCCCAGCACCA
rnacentral:tRNA from 1 species